rnacentral:lncRNA from 1 species
AUGUUCAUCCCCAGGAGAUGGUUCUAGUUUUCUCAGAAACAGGCUUGUUUUGGCUGUUGGGAUUCUUUAACAGCAGUCAUGCUGGGAAAUGCAGUUCCUCAGGAAGAGCUGAAAAUUGAGGGCAUGUGACCACCUUUGAGAAUUAUUAUAAAGAACAAGCUGUGCUGUGCAUGCGAGCUGAGGUGGUAUCUUGGGGGAAAKGUAGCCUGCUGGGGUACAGAAGUUAUUUAAGAGAAGCUGUGCCCUGUGUUCU